rnacentral:rRNA from 1 species
AUUGAACGCUGGCGGCAUGCCUUACACAUGCAAGUCGAACGGCAGCACGGGUGCUUGCACCUGGUGGCGAGUGGCGAACGGGUGAGUAAUACAUCGGAACGUACCUUAUCGUGGGGGAUAACGCAGCGAAAGUUGCGCUAAUACCGCAUACGCCCUGAGGGGAAAAGCGGGGGACCGUAAGGCCUCGCGCGAUUAGAGCGGCCGAUGUCUGAUUAGCUUGUUGGUGAGGUAAAAGCUCACCAAGGCGAUGAUCAGUAGCUGGUCUGAGAGGACGAUCAGCGACACUGGGACUGAGACACGGGCCAGACUCCUACGGGAGGCAGCAGUGGGGAAUUUUGGACAAUGGGGGCAACCCUGAUCCAGCAAUGCCGCGUGAGUGAAGAAGGCCUUCGGGUUGUAAAGCUCUUUUGUCAGGGAAGAAACAGCAGCUCUAACACAGUCUGCGAAUGACGGUACCUGAAGAAUAAGCACCGGCUAACUACGUGCCAGCAGCCGCCGCAG